AGUAUGUUAAUAGCAUAUUCAUUUGACGUUAGCUGCAGAAGAAGCACCGGCUAACUCCGUGCCAGCAGCCGCGGUAAUACGGAGGGUGCGAGCGUUAAUCGGAAUUACUGGGCGUAAAGCGCAUGCAGGUGGUUUGUUAAGUCAGAUGUGAAAGCCCGGGGCUCAACCUCGGAAUUGCAUUUGAAACUGGCAAACUAGAGUACUGUAGAGGGGGUAGAAUUUCAGGUGUAGCGGUGAAAUGCGUAGAGAUCUGAAGGAAUACCGGUGGCGAAGGCGGCCCCCUGGACAGAUACUGACACUCAGAUGCGAAAGCGUGGGGAGCAAACAGGAUUAGAUACCCUGGUAG
rnacentral:rRNA from 1 species